AGUUUACACGACAUCAGUCGCCAGUUCAGUUGAGGUAAUGUAUGAAAUAAUUUAACAAUAUAUAUAUUAAUUCAUCUAUUAGUGCAUUUUAUUUGCUAGAUAAAAUGGGCACGGCUUAUUUCUAUCUUUGACAACUACAUGUAUUUAAUUUUUAUAGUGUAUAUAUAAUAAUUAUUGAUAUAAACUUAUAUAUGCGUACUGUUUAGGGUGGUCAAAAAGUAAGGAGACACAAGUAUCAUGGCAAGCCCAAUGGGCAUGUGACCUGUAAAAAGGAGAACAAACUUAUAUUUCGAUCCCAAAUUAAUUUGUUAAGUGGAUAGUAUAACUUUAAGGUGGUAUGUGACACCUUCAUAUUAUGACGUACAUGUACUUCCUAUCGAAAUAAACAAUAAAACCAAGUAUAAUUUUAUACAUUUCUUUAAAAAAUAUAAGUUGUGGCCUAACAGUGUGUAUGUAGUGUAUAUGUUAUAGAAAGUUAAAAACAAAUCUGAAAGUCAUGAGUUUGAAUCCCGGCUUUUCUAUGAUGUUCAAUUUCCC
rnacentral:misc_RNA from 1 species